GUUUCCAGCCGGCUCCCCUCACAGCGAGCCCCCCCCCCCCCCCCCCCCCCCCGCCCCCCCCCCCCCCCCCCCCCCCCGUCGCUAUGGCAACCCGCGCGCGGCGCCGGCCGUUGCUUGGCGGUUGAGGCAGGGGCUCGCGCCCGGCCCGGCCCAGCCGUUGAGGGCGGCGCGUGCGCCGCCACCCCGGGAGGCCGGGGAGGCGGGGCGGGAAGGCUCGGCGCGCAUGCGCGCUUGGAAGCGGCGGGGCGGGCACCCCCCCCCCUCCCCUCCCUCCCGCCUCCCUCCGCCUCCUCCCGCCCCGGUGUGAGGCGAGGGCGGGCGGCGGGGCCCCCGCGCGGAGCCGGCGCAGGCGGCAGCGGAGCCCGCAGCCGGAGCCUUUCCCUCAGCCCGGCCCGGCCCGGCCCAGCCCCGCUCGCAGGUGAGGCGCGGCGGGGAGGAGGAGGAGGAGGAGAGGAGGAGGAGGGGACCGGGCAGCCGGCGCCCGCCUCCGCGGGGAGCCGCGGCGGGGCUCAUUGUCCGGCUGCGGGGAGGAGGAGGAGAAACAGGCGGCUUCCCCCCGCCCGGCGGCGCGGCGGGCCCGGCAGCGCUGCACGGCCGGGGAUUGGAGGCGCCGCGUCCCCUCCCAGAUCCGGGGAGGGUCCCGGCACCCCUCUGCCCGGCUCCACACGGUGCCGGGAGCCCCGAGCCCUGCCCGCAGCCUGCCUCCCCUCGGGGAACAGACAGACAGACGGACACACGGAUAGACAGAUAGAUACACGGACAGACAGACAAACACACGGGCAGACAGGCGGCCAGGCGCCCUCCCCCGCGGGCCGGGGGCGGCGGGGCCCCCUCCCCUGUCAGCGGCUGUGGGGCGGUGGCGGCCUCGCCGCAAGAUGGAGGGCUGUGGGGCGGGGGGGGGCCCGGCCGGCUCUCCCCUCUUUUCUUUACCAUCAUCGUUAUCCUUCGUUAUCAUCAUUAUCACGGCUUCGUUCUCCGUCCCCGGGGGUCGUGGCCUGGGUCUGGGGGCAGUUGCGGUGA
rnacentral:lncRNA from 1 species